CAUCCUUGCCCUAACAGAGUUUGCAUUCUAGCUGGAGGUGGAGGUCAGGGAGAUGAAAACUGAACAAUAAACAUAACCAGUAAGUAUGUUAGAUAUCAUGUUCGAAUAUGAACAAUGCCAUGGGAGAACAAAGUAGGGCCGGGGUGAGCAGCAUCGGGAGCCCGGGGACAGGGACCGAGGGCAGGGCAGGUGACAACAUUAAACAGAGUAGACAGGUACCUCAGAAGUGAGUAACUGGCCAAGCAUCCACUGCUGGGUUCUGAGAUGCGCUUGCUUUCAGGACAGGCCUCCCACAGGCUGCUCACAGCACUGCAGGGAUGUGAGGUCCGUUCCUGGGAGACACGGGCUACUUUGGCUCGAGGUGCCCCCACAGCCUUGCUGAACUUUCUCAGAGUCAUCUGCAGAUUAAGAUACUCCCACCCCCCUCCCUGCCGUCUCUCCCUUGCUGGAGUCAGACUCUCCUAGCUUCUUGCUCUUGCCUCGCUUUCUUUCAUUGGAGUGGCUCCUAAGAAAUCUCUUGACCAGGUAAGCCCAUUGUGGCAUCCGCCUCUCCAAGGAUCCUGCCAACUCAUCAGGUUAGGCCUCAUUGGGAAGGUGGGAUUGGAGCAUUCAGCAAUGACUGGAGCGGAGGGAGUAGCUGAGUUAGUAGUUCCAUAUCCUUUCGUUGCAUUGGAAGCUGCUCGCUGGCGCCCUCCUCUGUUCCAGAGUUGCCGGAUCUUGUCCAUCACCCCAGAAACAGCUCCUGCAUUUAACCUCUUCGUGCCUUUCCCACCAUGUAACCCUUUAAGGGUCUUGUUAUGUCCCCUAGGCUAUUGCCCCGCCACCAAUCUCUUCCUUCUCACCCCUGCAAUCCAUGCUGCUCACUGCUUCCAGGUGACCCUCUUAAGUCAUUCCCUGAUCUUGAUUCUCCCUUGCUCAGAAACCUCCAGUGACUCUCUGCAGGUUUAAGGGUAAGCCCCGCCUGACAUCUGAGGCCAACCACAUCUGUCUCCAGUGGGCCUUCUCAGCACUGCAGAGAGCUCUAGGUGUUAGAGUGGGAUGGGAUCCAGGCUACUGAACUCUGCCACCUCUACACAACUCUGCAUUUCUGUCAGGUGAUUAGCUGUGUGUGAGUGCCUUCAGUGACGGGAACCUCGCUUUUCCCAAGCUCACAUCUCCUUGAAGAGUCAAGACCCUGGCCCUGGUUCUGCCCUUUGAGCUGUAAGGGAGAAGACCCCUUCCCCUCCCAUGACAGCCCUUCACUUACUGGAAGUCAGUGAUUCUAUCUCCCAUGAGUCACCAUUUUUUGUCAUAACCCAUCUAGCACGGAAAAAAGAUGUCACCCGUGUCUCCUGUGAAAUGACCUGAAAUCCCUGGUACCCAGGCUCCUCUCCACUGAUUGCACUUGUAUUCGCUUCCUUGGGCUGCCAAAGUUCCACAGGCUGAAUGUUAAACAAUAGAAAUGUGUUUCUCCCAGUUCCAGAGGCUGGGAGGUCCAAGAUCAAGGUAUCAGCCCAUUUGAUUUCUCCUGAGCCUUUCUCCUUGGCUUCCAGAUGGCUGCCUCCUCACUGUGUCCUCACCCGGUCUCUUCUCUGUGCAUGUGCCUCCCUGGUGUCUCUUUUUGUGUCCAAAUUUCCACUUCUCAUAAGACACCAUUCAUAUUAGAUUGGGGCCCCCCGAACGGUCUCAUUUUAUCUUAAUUACCUCUUUAGGGCCAGGUGCAGUGGCUCACGUCUGUAAUCCCAGCACUUUGGGAGGCCAAGGCGGGCUGAUCACUUGAGGUCAGGAGUUUGAGACCAGCCUGAUCAAUAUGGCAAAACCCCAUCUCUACUGAAAACACAAAAAUUAGCCGGGCAUGGUGGUAGGCACCUGUAAUCCCAGCUACUCGGGAGGCUGAGGCAGGAGAAUUGCCUGUACCCGGGAGACAGACGUUGCAGUAAGCCAAGAUUAUGCCACUGUACUCCAGCCUGUGCAACAGAGAGAAACUCUGUCUCAAAAAAAAAAAAAAAAAAAAAAAA
rnacentral:lncRNA from 1 species